rnacentral:rRNA from 1 species
UACGUAGGGUGCAAACGUUGCCCGGAAUUAUUGGGCGUAAAGCGCUCGUAGGCGGCUUAGCAAGUCUGAUGUGAAAGCCCACGGCUUAACCGUGGAAGUGCAUGGGAAACUGCUGAGCUUGAGUACUUAAGAGGAUCGCGGAAUUCCCGGUGUAGAGGUGAAAUUCGUAGAUAUCGGGAGGAACACCAGUGGCGAAGGCGGCGAUCUGGGAAGAUACUGACGCUGAGGUGCGAAAGCGUGGGGAGCAAACAGG